rnacentral:misc_RNA from 1 species
GAUGAAGAACGCAGCGAAUUGCGAUAAGUAAUGUGAAUUGCAGAUUUUCAGUGAAUCAUCGAAUCUUUGAACGCACAUUGCGCCCGUCAGUAUUCUGACGGGCAUGCCUGUCCGAGCGUCAUUUCAACCCUCAAGCACUGCUUGGCGUUGGCGGAUUGCGUGCCCUCGCGGCGCUGCAACCGCCCAAAUACAGUGGCGGUCCCGCUGCGGCUCCCUUUGCGUAGUAACUCACCUCGCACUGGACCGGGCGGCGGCCUGCCGUAAAACCCCAACUCACGAAAUGUUGACCUCGGAUCAGGUAGGAAUACCCGCUGAACUUAAGCAUAUCAAUAAGCGGAGGA